rnacentral:lncRNA from 1 species
UGUCAUUAUUAACAAAAGUGAGGGGUGGGCAGCUUCACCUUCCUGGUAAAGGGGAUGGGAGCCUCUGGUCGGCCUCCACUGGGUCACCUCAUGAGUACAUACAGUGGCCAUCUGACCCUUCGGUCCACCGUUCCUUACCCACUGACUAUGUGAUGCUGAGGAAUUGCAGUGAAACAUGAGUAAAUAUCUAAACUCUGGUUUAAUCUCAAUGUCACCUAAAUAACAAUAGGACAGAUCUUUUAAACCAUCCACAUUGAUUCACGUCCCCCGCCCCCACCCGCCUCCCUGAUACUAAAUUCACCUGAGUUGUUCUUAUGACAAUUUCCCGAACUACCACCUGUGUAGACCAAAGCUCUCCUCUCAUCCAUUCCUCCCCUUCUUCUCCCACAACCUCAUGACCAAGUCCGCUCCUGCCUUCUGUGUACUUUGGAGUCUUAUUUAGCUUCUAACACUUCUGGACCAGAAUCACAGCUGGUACAGUGUCUACUAUGCCUAGAUCACAAAGAGGCAGAAGUCAUCAGAAUCAGCUCCCCACAGAAUAACUUCCAAAGGCAGCACUCACCAAAUGCCACUUGUGUAGGUCAUCUCCUACAAAGUUCUGCAUGCAAGUUAUAAUUUGUUUUAAAGGCAGUGUUUCCACUACUGAAUCAUACACUAUCUCAGGCAG